ACUUCCCUUUUGAGCUCUUCGUAAUCUGAGUUACCAGAUUCACGAGGCUGACUUUAUGCCCUUAUUUCACGCCUCAUUGAUGUUUGGAAGCCCACGUAUGAACCUAUUCGGCCAAUGAUCUAGGCCUAUCACUCUUUUGGAUAGACAUUAUUAUCUAAGACGCACCCCUGAUGAAGUCUAGUUCCUAGACGAAACUCGUUGGGUUACUGUAUUUCUUGUUGAUGUUAUCUCCGAAUAUUUAAUGAGGAAGAAUAAGGAUACAACACAGAAAGGUUGCCUUCUUUCCUCCAUAUCCCAUUGAUGGAU